rnacentral:rRNA from 1 species
UUAAGCAUAUCAAUAAGCGGAGGAAAAGAAACCAACAGGGAUUGCCUCAGUAACGGCGAGUGAAGCGGCAACAGCUCAAAUUUGAAAUCUGGCUCUUUCAGGGUCCGAGUUGUAAUUUGUAGAAGAUGCUUUGGGUGUGGCUCCGGUCUAAGUUUCCUUGGAACAGGACGUCAUAGAGGGUGAGAAUCCCGUACGUGACUGGGUGCCUUCGCUCGUGUAAAGCUCUUUCGACGAGUCGAGUUGUUUGGGAAUGCAGCUCAAAAUGGGUGGUAAAUUUCAUCUAAAGCUAAAUAUUGGCCAGAGACCGAUAGCGCACAAGUAGAGUGAUCGAAAGAUGAAAAGCACUUUGGAAAGAGAGUUAAACAGUACGUGAAAUUGUUGAAAGGGAAGCGCUUGCAACCAGACUUGCGCGCUGUUGAUCAUCCGAGCUUUUGCCCGGUGCACUCGGCAGCGCUCAGGCCAGCAUCGGUUUUGGUGGGCGGAUAAAGGCCUUGGGAAUGUAGCUCUCUUCGGGGAGUGUUAUAGCCCUCGGUGCAAUGCGCCCUACCGGGACCGAGGACCGCGCUUCGGCUAGGAUGCUGGCGUAAUGGUUGUAAGCGACCCGUCUUGAAACACGGACCAAGGAGUCUAACAUCUAUGCGAGUGUUUGGGUGUCAAACCCAUACGCGUAAUGAAAGUGAACGGAGGUGAGAACCCUUAAGGGUGCAUCAUCGACCGAUCCUGAUGUCUUCGGAUGGAUUUGAGUAAGAGCAUAGCUGUUGGGACCCGAAAGAUGGUGAACUAUGCCUGAAUAGGGUGAAGCCAGAGGAAGCUACUGGUGGAGGCUCGCAGCGGUUCUGACGUGCAAAUCGAUCGUCAAAUUUGGGUAUAGGGGCGAAAGACUAAUCGA